rnacentral:rRNA from 1 species
GAAUUCGCCCUUAGAGUUUGAUCCUGGCUCAGGACGAACGCUGGCGGCGUGCCUAACACAUGCAAGUCGAACGGAGUGAAGCCCUUCGGGACUUCGCUUAGUGGCGAACGGGUGAGUAACGCGUGAGGAACCUGCCUUUCAGUGGGGGACAACAGUUGGAAACGACUGCUAAUACCGCAUAAUGCUUUCGAGCGGCAUCGCUUGAAAGCCAAAGAUUUAUUGCUGAAAGAUGGUCUCGCGUCUGAUUAGCUAGUUGGUGAGGUAACGGCUCACCAAGGCGACGAUCAGUAGCCGGUCUGAGAGGAUGAACGGCCACAUUGGGACUGAGAUACGGCCCAGACUCCUACGGGAGGCAGCAGUGGGGAAUAUUGGGCAAUGGGGGAAACCCUGACCCAGCAACGCCGCGUGAAGGAAGAAGGCUUUCGGGUUGUAAACUUCUUUUACCAGGGGCGAAGAAAGUGACGGUACCUGGAGAAAAAGCAACGGCUAACUACGUGCCAGCAGCCGCGGUAAUACGUAGGUUGCGAGCGUUGUCCGGAUUUACUGGGUGUAAAGGGCGUGUAGGCGGAGAUGCAAGUUGGGAGUGAAAUCCAUGGGCUCAACCCAUGAACUGCUUUCAAAACUGUAUCCCUUGAGUGUCGGAGAGGCAAGCGGAAUUCCUAGUGUAGCGGUGAAAUGCGUAGAUAUUAGGAGGAACACCAGUGGCGAAGGCGGCUUGCUGGACGAUAACUGACGCUGAGGCGCGAAAGCGUGGGGAGCAAACAGGAUUAGAUACCCUGGUAGUCCACGCUGUAAACGAUG